GACGAACCGAGCGAACGUUGUUCGGAAUAACUGGGCUUAAAGGGCGCGUAGGCGGGCCGCCAAGUCCGAGGUGAAAUCCUCCGGCUCAACCGGAGAACUGCCUCGGAUACUGGAGGUCUCGAGGGUGGUAGGGGCACGCGGAACUGUGGGUGGAGCGGUGAAAUGCGUAGAUAUCCUAAGGAACACCGGUGGCGAAGGCGGCACGCUGGACACCUUCUGACGCUGAGGCGCGAAAGCCAGGGGAGCAAACGGG
rnacentral:rRNA from 1 species